rnacentral:rRNA from 1 species
CAGUUAUAGUUUAUUUGAUAAUUGAAUUCUACAUGGAUAACCGUAGUAAUUCUAGAGCUAAUACAUGCUGUAAAACCUGACUUUUACGGAAAGGUUGUAUUUAUUAGAUAUCAAACCAAUAAUCUUUCGGGAUUAUUGUGAUGAUUCAUAAUAACUGAUCGGAUCAAGGUGUACCUUGAUAGAUCAUUCAAGUUUCUGCCCUAUCAGCUUUCGAUGGUAGUGUAUUGGACUACCAUGGCAGUCACGGGUAACGGAGAAUUAGGGUUCGAUUCCGGAGAGGGGAGCCUGAGAAACGGCUACCACAUCUACGGAAGGCAGCAGGCGCGUAAAUUACCCAAUCCUGAUUCAGGGAGGUAGUGACAAGAAAUAACAACUCGGGGCCUCACGGCUUACGAGAUUGCAAUGAGAACAAUUUAAAUCUCUUAGCGAGGAACAAUUGGAGGGC